CCUACGGGAGGCAGCAGUAGGGAAUCUUCCGCAAUGGACGAGAGUCUGACGGAGCAACGCCGCGUGAACGAUGAAGGCCUUCGGGUCGUAAAGUUCUGUUGUUAGGGAAGAACAAGUGCUAGUUGAAUAAGCUGGCACCUUGACGGUACCUAACCAGAAAGCCACGGCUAACUACGUGCCAGCAGCCGCGGUAAUACGUAGGUGGCAAGCGUUGUCCGGAAUUAUUGGGCGUAAAGCGCGCGCAGGCGGUUUCUUAAGUCUGAUGUGAAAGCCCCCGGCUCAACCGGGGAGGGUCAUUGGAAACUGGGAAACUUGAGUGCAGAAGAGGAAAGUGGAAUUCCAAGUGUAGCGGUGAAAUGCGUAGAGAUUUGGAGGAACACCAGUGGCGAAGGCGACUUUCUGGUCUGUAACUGACGCUGAGGCGCGAAAGCGUGGGGAGCAAACAGGAUUAGAUACCCUGGUAGUCCACGCUGUAAACGAUGAGUGCUAAGUGUUAGAGGGUUUCCGCCUUUAGUGCUGAAGUUAACGCAUUAAGCACUCCGCCUGGGGAGGUACGGUCGCGAGACUGAACGUACAAAUAGAAGUUAGUACGGCGUGAGACGUGCCGAACGGACGACGACGACGGGAGGUUAGGG
rnacentral:rRNA from 1 species